rnacentral:rRNA from 1 species
CCUACGGGAGGCAGCAGUGAGGAAUAUUGGUCAAUGGACGAGAGUCUGAACCAGCCAAGCAGCGUGAAGGAUGAAGGCCCUAGGGGUUUUAAACUUCUUUUAGAGGGGAAUAAAAUGAUCCACGUGGGGGAUGUUGUAUGUACCAUAGGAAUAAGGGUGGGUGAACUCGGUGCCAGCAGCCGGGGGAAUACGGAGUAUCUGAGCGUUAUCCGGAUUUAAUGGGUUUAAAGGGAGUGUAGGUGGAUUGUUAAGUCAGUUGGGAAAGGUUGCGGCUCAACCGUAAAAUUGCAGUUGAAACUGGCAGUCUUGAGUACAGUAGAGGUAGGUGGAAUUCGUUGUGUAGCGGUGAAAUGCUU